GCUCAAUGAUUUUUUAAAUUGCUGUAGUAUUUUGACUAUACAAAGGUAUUGAAAUAAGAUUUUAAUUGAAUACUAAGAGAAUGGAAUUACAGAAAAUAGCUUUUUUUAAAUUAAAAAUUGAAAUUUUUUUAAUUUGUGCAGAAACAAUUAUUAAUAUUAAGGACAASAWGACCCUAUGAAUUUAUAAAUUUAUAUUAUAGUAAUUAAUAUAAAAUAAAUUUUGGUUGGGGCGMMAAAAAAAAAUAAAAAACUUUUUUUUUAUAAAAUGAUCCAUUAUUAAUGAUUAUAUGAAAAAUACUCUAGGGWWACAGCGUUAUAUUUUUUGAUAGCUCAUAUUGACAAAAAAGUUUGCGACCUCGAUGUUGGAUUAGGAUGCUUUUUUAAUGAAGAUAUUAAAAAAAGAAGUUUGUUCACUUUUAAUUUCCUACUUGAUCUGAGUUCAGACCGG
rnacentral:rRNA from 1 species